UGUAUUGGCAGUAACUUGUUUCACAUGUGAGAUUAGUUUGUGUUUGUUUUGAUGUAUUUGUCACGGAAACAAAGGUAAGUGCUGGUGGUUAUAUACUGAACUAAAAGACUGGAUUGAAAGCCGCUGUGUGAUCAUGUGACUAAAACAUAAAGCAGGAAAAGGGCAUGACAGAAUGGAUACCGGAAGUGCCUACAAAAUAAAACAGGAAAUGUGUGAGAAAACCCCAGACUGUGACAGUAUUUGAUGUUUCAUUCCCGCAUAUGUGUGUGCGCAGCCAGUGAGGGAUGAUUAUUUUAUGUUUGUUUCCUGUCAUUCAUUAAUUUAUGUACUUGCGUUUUUUUCUUUAUGUCUUAGUGUGUUAUGUAUAUGUUGUAGCUUGACGGUGGACAUUGUUGGAUUUCGGUGGAUGACAUAAGAAAAUAAGGAGCAACAAGCACAGCUCAUUAACCAGGCGGCAUAUGGACACCAGAGCGUCCACACGCUGGUGGCCACAUCGUCAUGUUACCUGACCAAUCCACCUGCAACCGCUAACAGAUUCACCCCUCGAUGACCUCUCUGCCUCCUCCGACCUCACCAUCGGCUCUGACACCUGCCCAGGUGUCAAUGCCGAUGAGUCCCCAGACUCCUUAGCUCCCUGAUCUGAGCUUAGAUCCUGUUUCACCUCUGUACUCCAACAAUAAUAUCGCCUGUUGUGCAACCAGUCUCUGGGUCUGAGUCUGCUCACUCUAAGAGCAUAGUUAUUAUUAUUAUUAUUAUUAUUAUUAUUAAAAUUAUGUUUGAUAAAAACAUAAACAUAACGUUGAUAAUUUACCAUAAAUCAUCAGAAACGUAAUGGAAAAAAAACAAUAAAUCAACCUAAACGUAAUGUUGAUAAUCGACCAUAAAUCAACGUAACCGUGACGUUGAUAAUUGACCAUGAAUCAACUUAAACGUAACGUUGAUAAACGACUAUUAAUCAGUGUAAACGUAACGUUGACAAUUGACCAUAAAACAACAUAAAUAUAACAUUGAUGAAAGACCAUAAAGCAACUUAAAUGUAACGUUGACGAUCAACCAUAAUGCAACAUUGACAUAACAUUGCCCCAUCAACGCUGAUUCAACUUUCAAAAUCUAAAUAUAAUCCACUGGUUGUUCAACCAUAAAUAUAAGGUUGCCUCAACGUGGUCUCAACCUGCCAGGUGGUUUUUCUUUCGGCUCAGCUCCCUCUUCACCGCGACGGACCGAUACACCGACCGCAUUACUGCAGCCGCCGCACCGACCCGUCUGUCAAACUCACGCUCCUUCCUUCCCUCACUCGUGAACAAGACCCCACGAUACUUCUACUACUCCUCCACUUGGGGCAGGAACUCUCCUCCAACCUGGAGAGAGCAAACCACCAUUUUCCGGUCGAGAACCGUGGCCUCGGAUUUGGAGGAACUGACUCUCAUCCCACCGCUUCACACUCAGCUGCAAACCGCACCAGCGCAUGCUGGAGGUCCUGGCCUGGUAUGUAUCAGUGAGUCGAUAUUUUAUUCACUCUUGGCAUACAGCUUGAUGUCAUCCAUGUAGAGGAGGUCCUCUCCAUCAAAGAGGGAGAUGUGAUGUGAAGACAGAACUAAAGACAGUUGACUUCAGGAAGCACCCAGCCCCGCCUCCCCCCUGUCAUCCUCUGUGACACCCCAGGGUAGUGGUGGGCGAUACUGCAAGCUUUGGUGUGGAUCCGAUACCAAGUAAAUACUGGACCAGUAUCGCCGAUAUCGAUAUCAAUAUCCAUAUUGAUACCAAUACUUUUUUAUAAUUAAUGCAUUUUCAUGACUUUUAGGUGUUUUGGGUUUUUCUUUUAUAUUGUAUUAUUAAUUUAAUAAAACCCAGACAAAGUUCAACAGUAAAUAUAUAUAUAAUAUAAAUUGGUGGUAUUGCCACUGUAUUUAACAUAUUGUAUUUAGGAUUAACAUGUAUUUUUUGCAGAUUGUACAAAUUGCCGUUGUUUCAUUUUCGGCUUGAAAAUAUAACCACUCUCUUUGCUUCCAUCCAUCUGCUUCGUCUUUGUCCACAUGCUUGUUUGUUUACUGGCCCAAGUCGAUUGAUAUCAAUCCUAGUGCUGUUAUCGUUAUUAUCGAUAUUAGUAUCGAUCUGCCCACCCCUACCCCAAGGACCUUCUGCUUCCUGGGAACAAUCAUCAGCCAGGACCUCAAGUGGGAGCAGAACAUCAGCUCCAUCACUAAGAAGGCUCAGCAGAGGAUGUACUUCCUGAGGCAGCUGAAGACGCUUCACCUCCCUGUGAUGUUGGUUAUUUGGUAAACCAGGAGCUGCACAUCUCCAGGACCCGGAGACGGGCAGCCAGCAUUGUAGCCAACCCCCUCUCAUCCAGGACAUGAAAACUUUCAGCCCCUACCCUUUGGCAAGAGGCUCCGGUCCAUCAGGACUAGGACCUUACGCCAUAAAAACAGCUUCUUUCCCAAUGCAGUCAGUCUAUUGAACAGUGCCCUGACCCCCCAACCCAAGGACAAUCGGUGCCACUCUACAGGUCACACCAUCCUAGACCACCUGCACACCCACUUCACUCACUGCACUAUUUGAAUUAUGCCAUGUUGUAUGCACCACCAGCCAAAACCAAGUCAAAUUCCAAGUUUUGUAAAGUACUCUCUGGCAAUAAAGCUUUUUCUGAUUCUGAUUCUGAAGAGCCUGAAAAAACGUUUUAAUUUGCAGAACGCACGGCAACCCGAGAAAAAUAAGAAAAAAAAGAAGAAACAAAAAACGCAGAGCCAACGACAAACUAAAGAAGAUUGAGUUAAAUAAAAUUCUCUAAAAGGGACUAGGGAUUACAGACUUCAUGCUCCUGACGCAGCUGUAAUCAGAGCAGACAUGUUUUCAUUAUUACUCAUUAUUUGUUUUGUCAAGUACAAAAAUAAUUAAAUGUAAAUAUAACAAAGUGAAUUAUCUUUUAUUAUGUAUUGCAAACCUAAGAUGUCACCCAAUACCCAAGGGAGUAUAACUAUUGGAUAAAUGUUUUUUCUUGGUGUCUUUAGCUGUGGUAACCUGCAGCCGCUUAAUCCCAGUAUUACUGCUAAUGUAUGUAUGAGUCUUAAGAAAUAUU